AGCAGAGUGGCGCAGCAGAAGCGUGCUGGGCCCAUAACCCAGAGAUUGAUAGAUCGAAACCAUCCUCUGCUC
rfam:Lepisosteus oculatus unplaced genomic scaffold TNK6, whole genome shotgun sequence.